UCGACGUUGAAUAAUUACAAUAUUAUUGUUGUUAUCUUUUUAAACUGUUGAGCUUGGAAAUGCUGGUUUACAAUUGAUUCAAAGCUGAAUAACAAACAAACAAACAAACAACGUUUUCAAUAUAAAAUUUGACGAAUAAGUCAAUAUGAAAAUGAAGAACAUAAGAAGGAUAACUAAUAUAACAAAUAUAACUACCUCACCUGCUAAUACAUACACUCAUCUCUAUUCUCUAAUAUAAGCCAAGUCUCACCACAUAGAAAAAGCUAAUAGUUUGAGUUAUCCAAACACUGCAUAAGAUGAAGCUUCAAGAGUGUAUAACUGAUAAGGGUAGAUAGAAUCUUGAAGCGACUUUGACUGAACAUGAGUUUGAUCGGAGGGGGGUUUGGAGGAUAAACAACAACACCAACAACAAAUAAAAGCAUGAGAUCGUGAAGAGGGGUCAAAAAAUGAAAAAGAAGAAGUCAUGAAUAGAGAUUGUGAGAUUGUAAGUGUUGAACUGGAUCAUGAAUAGUGAAUUUGGAGAGAGAUUCUUAAGUGUGAGAUUCAGAAAGAUUUGC
rnacentral:lncRNA from 1 species